AUGAACGCUGGCGGCGUGCCUUAAGCAUGCAAGUCAAGGGGACCCCGCAAGGGGUAACCGGCAGACGGGUGAGUAACGCGUAGGAACCUACCUCAAGGUGGAACAUAGCUCUUCGAAAGAAGGGGUAAUUUUCCAUGGUAUCGUAAGAUUAAAGCUCUUAACUGGGCGCCAUGAGAGGGGCCUGCGUCCUAUCAGCUAGUUGGCGGGGUAAAUGCCCACCAAGGCUUUGACGGGUAGCUGGACUGAGAGGUCGAUCAGCCACAACUGCACUGAGACACGGGCAGUACACCUACGGGUGGCAGCAACUGGGAAUAUUGGGCAAUGGACGCAAGUCUGACCCAGCGACGCCGCGUGGAGGAAGACAGCUUUCGGGUUGUAAACUCCUUUUGCCAAGCUCUUCACAGCUUGGAGAAUAAGCCCCUACUAACUACGUGCCAGAAGUCUCGGUAAUACGUAGGGGGCAAGCGUUAUCCGGAUUCAUUGGGCGUAAAGUGUACGCAGGCGGAAUGGAAAGUCAUAUCUUAAAGACUAAGGCUUACCCUUAGCGUUGGAUAUGAUACUUCUAUUCUUGAGGUUUGAUAGGGGUGCUAGAACAGGUGGUGUAGCAGUGAAAUGCGUUGAUAUUACCUGGAAUACCAAAGGCGAAAGCAGGCACCUAGGUUUAACCUGACGCUAAUGUACGAAAGCCAGGGGAGCGAAACAGAUUAGAUACCUGUGUAGUCCUGGCCGUAAACGAUGCUCGCUAGCUCUCACGUAAGUGGGGGUGUAAGCUAACGCGUUAAGCGAGCCGCCUGGGGAGUACGGCCGCAAGGCUAAAACUCAAAGGAAUUGACGGGGACCCGCACAACCUGUGGAGCGUGUGGUUCAAUUCGAGACAAAACGAAGGACCUCACCAGGGCUUGACAUGCUACCGUUUAUGCUUUUGGAAACAUUAGCAAAUCCGUAAGGAUGGUAGCACAGGUGCUGCAUGGCUGUCGUCAGCUCGUGCCGUGAGGUGUUCCCUUAAGUGGGGAAACGAGCGCAACCCCCAUCUAAUGUUAAACUAUUCAUUAGAAACUGCUCUUGUUUUACAAGAGAGGAAGGAGGGGUAGAUGUCAAGUCAGCACGGCCCUUAUGCCCUGGGCCACACACACACUACAAUGGCGAAAAACAACGGGUUGCAAGCACACAAGUGUAAGCUAAUCUCUCAAAUUUCGCCUCAGUUCAGAUUGGGGUCUGAAACCCGACCCCAUGAAGCCGGAAUAGGUAGUAAUCGCGGAUCAGCAAGCCGCGGUGAAUACGUUCUCGGGUCUUGUACACACCGCCCGUCAAGGCAGCAAAGUCGGGGGUAGCCGAACAUUGUCAUUUGGCGAUGGAGGCUAAAUUCGGCGAUGAAGCUU
rnacentral:rRNA from 1 species